rnacentral:rRNA from 1 species
GUGUCAGCAGCCGCGGUAAUACGUAGGGGGCCAGCGUUGUCCGGACUUACUGGGCGUAAAGCGCGCGCAGGCGGACCUGUAUGUGCCGUGUGAAAGCGCCGGACUUACUCCGGCGAGGUCAUGGUAGACAGCAGGUCUUGAGCCUCGGAGAGGUCGGUGGAAUUCCGGGUGGAGCGGUGAAAUGCGUAGAGAUCCGGAGGAACACCAGGGGCGAAGGCGGCCGACUGGCCGAGUGCUGACGCUGAGGCGCGAAGGCGUGGGGAGCAAACCGGAUUAGAAACCCUCGUAGUCC